AUUGAACGCUGGCGGCAGGCUUAACACAUGCAAGUCGAGCGAGCGGCGGACGGGUGAGUAAUGUAUGGGAAACUGCCUAAUGAUGGGGGAUAACUACUGGAAACGGUAGCUAAUACCGCAUACUAUCAGAUGUGCCCAGAUGGGAUUAGCUCGUAGGUGGGGUAAUGGCUCACCUAGGCGACGAUCCCUAGCGGGUCUGGGAGGAUGACCAGCCACACUGGAACUGAGACACGGUCCAGACUCCUACGGGAGGCAGCAGUGGGGAAUUUUGCACAAUGGGCGCAAGCCUGAUGCAGCCAUGCCGCGUGUGUGAAGAAGGCCUUCGGGUUGUAAAGCACUUUCAGCGAGGAGGCGUUACUCGCAGAAGAAGCACCGGCUAACUCCGUGCCAGCAGCCGCGGUAAUAC
rnacentral:rRNA from 1 species